rnacentral:lncRNA from 1 species
GGCCCUCGACCACAGUAAAGGAUCAGGCGCAGGCAGGAAAAUAGAGAGAGAGCGAAGAGAGGAGAAGAUUUGGCCGCCGCGGUUGCAACCCUGCGCAUGCGCCGCUCGGGCUUCAGUCGCAUGGUCUGGGCGACCCGCUGGGGUACAUAGAUGACGUCUGUGGCACUUGAGCGAGGAGAAGACUCUCGGUGGAGGCCGAAUUGCUCACCGGUUCGUGGACAUCACCGUCGGGCCGCAUCUCACCAUGGGGGCAGGUUCUCCAUUGCUCCACCGUCGGUAAAAUACUCCUAGAAUUAUUCUGGGUUGAUUCCGCUUCGCGUUUUUGCUACUUCGAUUGGGGUUCGGUCGUCGGGGUGUUGGUUUCACGGGCAUCGGUGAGCUAUCGGGGCGGAGCUCUUCUUCCGCCGCCCUGUCGUGCAGUCGGGAGCAGGAAGAAGCAUGGAGUCCAUUGAUCUAGUGAUCAACGGUGGCUAUAGGAAGAUGAAGUGGAUGAACCAGGACCGUUAGAUGGUGAUCCAGCGCGCGGAACCCGUGAUCGAAUCUGGGCGGUCGAUGUUAAAUCGUGCGGUCGAUGCUGGAUACCGAUUCGGGUUGGAGACAAUCUAAUCUAGGCCGCGGGCUUUAGAUCCAAUGGCCUGAAUUCGCAGAUACCCGUUCGGCCAUGACAUUUGCUAAAGAGCCCCCGGGGAAUGGUCAAACUAACCCGCCAUCUAUGCUGGUUCAAACAUAAUUCCAACUGGGUCCUUUUAUUUGCAGAUUUAACCCUGUGCUUAUGAAAAAUAGUGGCCCCAGCCCAGAAAGUUUAUGAAAUAGUUAUAUUAAUGAUUUUUGUUAUAAAAAUAAUCCAGGAAACUUGCUUAAUUUAUAUUAAUUCCAUUUUAACUCCUUUUUAACCCGUUCCAGUUGCAUUAAUUUUGUUUCAAUAUUCUCUAUCAACUAGUAACACUGUUUAGCCAUGAAACAUGAAUUAAGAUUGUUCAUUUGGAUUAAUCUAUUCUAAGCACUAAAAUAAUUUCGGAAACUCAUAACUCAAUAACCGUAGCUCCGAAUUGAGUGGUUUUUCUUUCUACGAUCUCGUUACGCAGUGUAGAUUAUUAUUAUGCAGUUUGUGCUUAUGUUUGGUGUAAUGUUAAUUUUGCCUAUACCACUAUUUGUUUGUAUUGCUACGUUUAGCGCGAGGUCACGAGUCAUCUGAAAAGCAAGUUGGUACCUGGAAUCUCAAGUGCCAGGCAAGUUGUGCCCUUGAUCACUUCUUUUUACCCAGUCAUGUUCUAAUUAAUCUUAAUGACCUGCAUAGGUUAAUUUUGAUGGGACCCAAUAGGAUACCCUAGUUUGACUAUCUUUAUACCUUGUUCACCACUGAAUUUUUGGGUAGUACCUGCUAUUGCUUUAUGUGGUUUUGGGUAUAGAGAUACAAAUUACUAUUCAUGAUUAUAUUUUAUUAUCAGUUGUUAUUUACUGUUCAUGUUAAGAUCAUUAUGUUAAUUGGAACAUGGAGAACCACCCAGGAAAACAGUGCUACCACAAGGGUUUAAUGGGACGCCCUUGGCUGAUUAAUUAGGAAAGCUAGUGGAUGACUAUCUUACCCGAAAGGGGCAAGGGCAGUAGGGGAGUGGUCAGUGUAGGGAGGCCCUUGGGAUGAUUUUGCUGCGAUGGCGGUCAUGUGAGGGAUUCCUGCAUUGGAGCUUCCUAUAAACUGUAGCGGGUUUUCUGAAGCUAGUGGAACUUUGUAAAGGCCUCGUAGUGUUACCCUACCUCGCCUCCUCGGUAGAGGUGUAUGGGAUUGGCCGUCUCUUGGCAGAUGGGUAUUAUGACUUGUGGGUAAAGAUGCGCAACCUCUGCAGAGUGUAAAACUGGUAUACUAGUCGUGCUCAUGGUCAUGAGCAGCUCGGACACUCACAUGAUUAAAUUAUGGAACUUAAACUCAAUUUGUCAUAUGCAUUGCAUCGCAGGUGAGGUUGUUACUUUUGUUCUACUACUUAAUUGGGCUGGUAUUUACUUAUACUUAGUAAUUGCUAAUAAAAUUUUGACCAACUUUAAAAGCAAUGCUCAGCUCUAACCAUCAUCUUUGGUAAGCCUUACACUUCACGUGAGCUCCCACCUUUGGCGAGUUCAUGCACAUUAUUCCCCACAACUUGUUGAGCGAUGAACGUAUGUGAGCUCACUCUUGCUGUCUCACACCCCCCACAGGUCAAGAUCAGGUACCACAGGAUGAGGCGCAUGGAGGAUGCUGCGAUGUGUCCAUGAGAGUUCUAGGUCGUCGUCUCCCAGUCAACUUUGGGUUGUUGGACCGUUGUCUCCUUAUAAUGUAAUUAUUUAUUUAUUUUGUAUAGAACUCCUAUUAUAUAGUAAAGAUGUGAC